ACAGCUUGAUUAAUAUGAUUUUUCUUUUAUCGUCAUGGAUUUACGUUCCACGACAAUAAAUACAUUAGUUCAUAUGGGAAAAAUUGUUUCUGGAACGAAUUAUGCUCGUUAAGCUUAUUUUUCAAGAGAAACACUACGAGGACAAUGAGCAACGUGCAUAUAUCCUCAGAUUCAUGUGCAAAUGGUGAACUACAUCGCAAUGUUCAUAUAAUUGGUGUUUCAAGGAAAAGUAUAAUUCAGUACUAAUGAAGCGGCUGGUCCAAUUGUCCAAAGUUCUACAAAAAAUGUAUGCAUACAUAAUAUAAAGUUAUAUAUGUACAAAUUAAUAGAAAAUCUUAUAAAUUCUGGAACAAUAAUAACUUCUGAAAGAAAACUUGUAUUGUUCAAACUUAUAUUAAAUUAUGUA